GGUAUCCUACGGGGGGCAGCAGUGGGGAAUAUUGCGCAAUGGGCGAAAGCCUGACGCAGCGACGCCGCGUGGGGGAUGAAGGUCUUCGGAUCGUAAACCUCUGUCAGCAGGGAAGAACGGUCACUGUGCUAAUCAGCAGUGAAUUGACGGUACCUGCAAAGGAAGCACCGGCUAACUCCGUGCCAGCAGCCGCGGUAAUACGGAGGGGGCGAGCGUUAAUCGGAAUUACUGGGCGUAAAGCGCUCGUAGGCGGAAUGUCAAGUCAAGGGAGAAAUCCACGCGCUCAACGUGGGAA
rnacentral:rRNA from 1 species